UGUAUCUGUAAACAAAAACCACAUCGUUAGCAAAACACGACAUAAAUAAUUGUAAACCUUACAUAGGUAAGGGUCUUAUUAAUUGUAAGUAUGUCAUCUAUAGAUAUUAAUCAAACACCUUCGGUAAAUCUUUGUCUCAUGACUUAUGUGCCUAUUUAUACAGGGGAGCUAAUUAACAAGUGAUCUCAUUUUUGUAGGACUUUCUUGUUGAAGACACCAAGCAGAUAUGAAGACCUAUCUUCAAUUAUCUUUUUUGAUUGUGGCUUUAGUUUUCAUGUUUGCUUGUACAGUUAACGCUCAAGCAGAAAAUGAAGCUGAGUGUCGCUGUGACUUCUCCUGUGAUGAUAACUACGAAGAAGAAGGUUCAGAUUACAUGGCAAGAAUGCAAUGUGAUAACAUAUAUCAUAAAUGUUGCAUCCUAAUGAAGUUCUGGGUUGAUUAUCCAUCCUCCAAUACUUAUGGGAAAUAGACUCAUUGCUGCAUUUGUAUGAAGUUCUAAAAACAGUCAGAUUGAUAGAUAAUACUGAUAUCAAUCAUUGAACAUGACAUUUUGUGUUAAAGUUUAUUUUUGUUUCUCAUAUUCUGAUAUGAGCGUGUAUACGACAAAUAAUUUAUUAUACAACAACAAAAGAAGAACAAAACCGACAUGGCCAUUAAUAUUUACUGUGUAAUGACAAUCUAGGUCCAAAAUGAAUUAAAUAAAUUGCUUUUGAUAUACAUUUUAUAUAGUUUUUUUCAUUUUUAACUUAUAAAUAAACGGAUUAUAUAUCUCA